CAUGUAUACAGCGUAACUGCGGAAUGGCUCAUUGCUCCAUUGUCGUUUAGUUGAUAUGACCUUACUACUUGGAUAACCGUGGUAAUUCAUGAGCUAAUACAUGCUAAAAACCCCGACUCUCGGAGGGGUGUAUUUAUUAGAUUAAAAGCCAAUGCCCUCCGGGGCUCACUGGUGAUUCAUGAUAACUUGUCGAAUCGCAUGGCCUUGCGCCGGCGAUGGUUCAUUCAAAUUUCUGCCCUAUCAACUUUCGACGGCUGGGUCUUGGCCAGCCAUGGUGACAACGGGUAACGGAGGGUUAGGGCUCGACCCCGGAGAACGAGCCUGAGAAACGGCUAUUACAUCCAAGGAAGGCAGCAGGCGCGCAAAUUACCCAAUACCGACUCGGUGAGGUAGUGACGAUAAAUACUGAUACAGGGCUCUUUUGGGUCUUGUAAUUGGAAUGAGUACAAUUUAAAUCCCUUAACGAGGAACAAUUGGAGGGCAAGUCUGGUGCCAGCAGCCGCGGUAAUUCCAGCUCCAAUAGCGUAUAUUAAAGUUGUUGCAGUUAAAAAGCUCGUAGUUGAACCUUGGGCCUGGCUGGCCGGUCCGCCUCACCGCGUGCACUGGUCCGGCCGGGCCUUUCCCUCUGGGGAACCGCAUGCCAUUCACUUGGUGUGCCGGGGAACCAGGACUUUUACUUUGAAAAAAUUAGAGUGUUCAAAGCAGGCCUAUGCUCGAAUACAUUAGCAUGGAAUAAUAGAAUAGGACGUGUGGUUCUAUUUUGUUGGUUUCUAGGACCGCCGUAAUGAUUAAUAGGGACAGUCGGGGGCAUCAGUAUUCAAUUGUCAGAGGUGAAAUUCUUGGAUUUAUUGAAGACUAACUACUGCGAAAGCAUUUGCCAAGGAUGUUUUCAUUAAUCAGGAACGAAAGUUAGGGGAUCGAAGACGAUUAUCUGGUCGUCCACAGCGCUGUAAACGUGGUGAGCUUGUCCGCCGCGGAGCAGUGCUAGUCCGCCUCGGGGCGGGCGACAUCGUCAAAUUGCGGGGACCUCCUAAAGGCCGCUGCUACACCUGCAGUCGGGAAACCUUCCGCAGUCGUAAGAAUGCACGGUAUGACGGGGCGCCAGCCUCUGAAAUGGAAAAUCCGCAGCCAAGCCCUACAGUCGCUCCGGCGGCCAGGGGUGCAGUUCACAGACUAGAUGGCGAUGGGGGCUUUUGGGACAUAAAGCUUCUAAGAUAUAGUCGAGCCAGCGCUGAAAGGCCCUGGGAAGUUCAAAGCAGAUACCGUCGUAGUCUUAACCAUAAACUAUGCCGACUAGGGAUCGGACGAUGUUAUUUUUUGACUCGUUCGGCACCUUACACGAAAGUACAAGUUUCUGGGUUCUGGGGGGGAGUAUGGUCGCAAGGCUGAAACUUAAAGAAAUUGACGGAAGGGCACCACCAGGGUAAACCGCAGUUAACUCUGCCCCUGACAGCG
rnacentral:rRNA from 1 species